UCCAUCAUUUUUAAUAUUUUUUAUUUUAAGAAAAGUAAAAUAAGCAGGGUCAGACCUGGUUAGUCCUUGGAUGGGAGAACACCUGGGAAUACCGGGUGUGCUGUAG
rnacentral:rRNA from 1 species